UACACCCUGGGCUACAAACACCCUACAAUGGCGAAAAACAACGAGCUGCAACCUGGUAACAGGAAGCAAAUCUCUGAAAUUUCGCCUCAGUUCAGAUUGGGGGCUGCAAUUCGCCCCCAUGAAGUCGGAAUUGCUAGUAAUCGCGAAUCAGCAGGUCGCGGUGAAUACGUUCUCGCCUCUUGUACAAAAUAAAUGCGCCUGGCAGUUUAAUAAACUAGGUGGUGUAAAUCCAUC
rnacentral:ncRNA from 1 species